GUAACCUUCGGGAGCCAGCCGUCUAAGGUGGGACAGAUGAUUAGGGUGAAGUCGUAACAAGGUAGCCGUAGGAGAACCUGCGGCUGGAUCACCUCCUUU
rnacentral:rRNA from 1 species